GGUAGGCAGAGGAGCGGGGACAUGGCGUGCUCAGGGAAGGAAGCAGAGGAGGAGGGCAUUGCCAUGGAAAACAUUUUCUUCCUAGUAUGUUCAUUCAAAGACCCCAGCUACAGUGGGAGAAGAGCUGCCUGCCUUCUAGAGACUGAAGUUUGUGUCUCGGCCUCUGUUGGAAAGCUGUCCCAGCUGUGCAGAGACUGCUUCUUUCCACUGAAGAGUCUGACUUUGGCAAGAACAUAGGUGACAAUGGAUCCUGCUCUGAGAGCAGCCACCUGGCCCACCAACCACAUCCAGAUUGGAAUACACUGUCCUCUACAGCUUCUCCUGGAAUGGCAGGAACAGUCAUCUGUACCAAGAAAUUUCACUGAGCUGGAGCAGUUGGGGGAGCAGAUUCCAGCUAAGGACCAGAAUGAAUUGAGCACUGAUUUUCUGCAUGUGUUUCAAUGAUCACAGGAUCUUCUCCUUCCCAGAGGCUAGUGAAGAUUAGAAGGCGAAAAAA